GGACGGUUCAGAUUUAGGUGAACUGGAUGGAUUUUUGUCUUGUCCAGGUAUUAACUAUUAUGGACGGAUGGCUUUUCCCUGGACUUGCACUGGGAUUCCCAAGAAGGAAGGAGCCUCCUCUUGCCUCAAGCAAGGAUGCACAAAUGUCCUCAGACCCUCCGACACCUGGAAGUUCACCGUGCAAGACUAAAGCAGCCAGUGGUUCAGUCUCGGAAAUUCUAAAUAGACUGCUUUUUAAGUUAAAAUAUAAAUUAUCUCAUGAAUAUAAAUGCAGGUUUCCUGCAUCUACUGUCUCCAAGGACGAGGAAGGAAAGAGCUUCCUGGUAUAUCCUCUCCUCGAUGUCGAAGCAAGCCUGAGCCCCCCCGUCAAAGGCCAGAACUCAGGGAGGUUGAUCCUCUGUGUUCCGUCUGUGAGAAAGGACGUGGAAAAAGAAUUCAGAAGUCUAAAACAGCAGCCUGACUAGUCAGGGUCUCCACGGCUGUGAACAGACACCACCAUGACCACAGCAACUCUUACAAAGGAUGACGUUUAAUUAGGGACUAGCUUACAGUUUCAGAGGUUCAGUCCAUUAUCAUCAUGGCAGGAAGCACGGCAGCCUCCAGGCAGACAUGGCGCUGGAGGAGCGCAAAGUUCUACAUCUUGACCUGCAGGCAGCAAGGAGGAAACUGGAUGUGUAUCUCACUGGGUGUACUAGCUUGAGCAUUUAAGACCUCAAAGCCCCACCUCCACAGUGACGUACUUCCUCCAACAAGGCCACACCCACCCCAAUACGGCCACACCCACUCCAACAAGACCACACCCACUCCAAUGAGGCCACAGCUCCUAAUAGUGCCACUCCCUAUGGCCAACCAUUCAAGCACAUGAGGGCCAUACCUAUUCAAACCGCCACAGGUGGUUUAAGCCUUUGUGUGUGUGUGUGUGUGUGUGUGUGUGAGAGAGAGAGAGAGAGAGAGAGAGAGAGAGAGAGAGAGAGAGAGAGAGAGAGAGAGAGAGAGAGAGAGAGAGAGA
ensembl:lncRNA